rfam:Oryza sativa Japonica Group DNA, chromosome 1, cultivar: Nipponbare, complete sequence.
AAAAAGGUAAACUAUGGGUUCCUGUGUCAUCGUUUGACUGUCCAUCUUAUAUGAAUUUUUUUUAUAAUUAGUAUUUUCAUUGUUGAUAGAUGAUAAAACAUGAUUAAUACUUUAUGUGUGACUUGUCUUUUUAAUUUUUUUCAUAAUUUUUUUAAAUAAGACGGACGGUCAAACGUUGGACAGGGAAACCAGGGUUUGUCUUUUC